CAAGAGUUACAUGAACUUGCAUCUAACUGUCUUUAGACAGAGAAGAAAGUCAUCAGUUGACUUGAAAACACUCUCGUUAUCCUUCCUUUCAAAGCCCGAACAAGGAAAAAUGGUUUUUUAUUUUAUGGGUGUUGGUCAUAGGCAAAAGGCAAGCAACUCUUUUCUGCUUUCACUCUCUAAUGCACUACCAAGUCCUCUGUGGAACAACUGAAAGACAUUCCUAGAAGAUUCCUAGCCACAGAGUUGGUUAAGAGCAGACCUUUACCAUGCACUGCCUUCUACACUGGGAUGAAUUUUACUGCAGCCUGGCAUUGUGAGACAAGGGUGGAACCGUAAUGAUUUCAACCAGAGAUCAACCUCUACAGGCUAAAAAAGAGUGGUUUUAUUUUCUCCAAGGGAAGAGGAUCCCAGGGGAAGGAGCAUGGCUUAUUUUGACCAGGGUUUUGAUUCUUCUGCAGCACCUGGAGGCCGGGUGAUGUUUGCACUCUCCUGAGAGGAUCUGACAGCACGUGGUGCGGCCCGAGGAACGAGGACAGUGCACACCUGAGAGAGCCAUGUCCUCCACCCGCUCACCAAAAACCUGCGGUUGGGCCGCUCACACCGUUCUCUGGGGUACUCACGUGAUUGAGAAAUUUGCUGUCUCGUGUGGCCCAGCCAAUCUGCAUGACGCCAGAAGUGACCACAGUGACUUCAUAGUACCACACCCCAGCAUCCACGCAGAAGGUGCAACGCACGCUUUCAAAAGAGGAAGCAUCACAGCGAGCCUGGCAAAACCAAAGCAGGUCAGUCUACCAUCAACACCUGGAGACCACCAAAGACAGGUGACUGCUCAGAGGAGGAAUGUCUUUUUCUUUACUGAAGCUUCUGGUGGAUGGUCCUUCCCUUCUCUGUGCAUCCCCAAGGACAAAAAGUGCAAAACAGAAUGAAGCACACUCUGUUUUAUAGUUUUAUCCCCAGGGAGUUUUAACUGGGUUGGAAGGCCUCAAAGAGGGCCGCAGAAGAGUUAAUGAGAGCUACUGGCUUCUUUCUCAAGUACGUACAGCAGAAUCUUUUACAGAUGCAUAAACAUGGCCUGAACUGCACUUGUUAGGAUGGGGACAGGGAAGGACACUGAAGGGUGGAAGACGGGAUACCUAAAAAUAACCUAAAGCAGAAAGCUACUGAGGCAUUUGGCAAUACGUAAGAUCAAAGAGCUGUCUGCAGCCAUUCUUCAGACAGUUCUUUAAUCUUGACAUGUCUAGUGCCUUGUGGUGCCUCCUUGUACAGAAGCAGUGUUCACCGAUGUGCACUACAAAAUCGGCAGCAUUUCCAAUGCACAGGGAGGAGGAGGAGCAUUAGACAGACUACAACUGGUUAUGCAUGCAUUUAAAAAGGAAAAGCCUCUGUAAGAAACACUACUCUUUAUACCUUUAGCUGAAUAAAAUGGCAGAGAUUGAAAACAGA